AGUGUCAAUUGAGGGUUAAUAAUGUUAUUACGCUAGAAUUACCAGAUCAAAAUAACUUGAAUCAGGUUUUUUAUUUUUCCAAUAGAGCACUAUAAGGGAGGAACAUAAGUUACAUUCUCUGUCUUUUACAGAGAAACAGUUUUAAGAUUCUGCAUAUUGUUAAUCAAUCCCAUAUUAUCAAAAAUGUGUUUCUACUAUAAUUUUCAAUUAGUAGAAAUAGAUAAAUAUUUUUGGUGUUAUUAAUAUUUUAGUUUUAUUCGGAUAGAAACACUUAUUUUGGAUAUAUUACAUUAAAUCCAAUUAACUAUCUGGAACAUAUCAAAGAGCUUGUUAGUUUUGGUGUUAAUAAGAAAAUUAAUUCAAAGUAAAUAGAUAGGAAAGAAUAUAUCUAAUGGAUAAAAUAGACUAAUUAGAGAUGGCUUCAUAAUAAUUGAAACUUGAUGAAAUUCUAUUUAUAUAUUAGAAUUUAUGUCUUUUCACUUUUCUUCAGAUGACGAUAAUAAGGUGUUAAUGGAUUUGGAAGUUUUAGGGUAUACCAAGGAGUGAGAAUUUCUGAAAAUAUCGAAAGACUUAAUCUGACGAAUCCACGGGCAAUUUAAUCGCGUAUAAAGUUUAAAAUAACUUCUAUACUUGAGUGUCUUGGAGAUUUCUGAAGGAACCUGUAAUCUCGAUGAAUUUAAGGAGCAGGCAAUUUUCGCGAAGCUAUUUCUGCUCUUGAGGGAAGCACAACUUUUGCUCCAUUUCGUCAGUCUUAAACACACACUUAUAGAAAUUGUUUUAUUUCUUUCUUAGUUAAUUUAUAUAGAUUAAUUUAAAUAAUUUGUUUUAGAACAUUUGAAGAUUACAAGGGAAAACACAUGUCUUCAUCGUAUCAUGGUAAUGCUAUAAUUUCAUUGAUCUUGAUGUUAUUCAGUGAUUAAAAAGAUAUACUUUGAUAUAACAUAGUUAAAGAUAGAAAAAAACCAUUUAGUUUAAAGGUGUGACUGAUUAAAAAUACCAAGUCCAUAAAGAUUUAUGAAAAAAUUAAUUUACCAUAAUACUUUUAAGGAAUCAAUGUAUUUGAUGAUCUCACUCAUAAUGAAUUUUAAUAAAAAGACAAAUUUGGUAAUAUACGAGAAUUGUUAACAAGAUAUGAGGUAUUAAAAUUGCUCUCAUAUGAAAAACAAAAAGUAUGACUUAUCGCAGCUUUCCCCUGUAGUUUUCUUUUAUUAGAGGUGUCGCGUUUAGGAGAUGAAUUUAACAGUGCCAUAUCAAACAUUGGCGGAGCCCCGAGUCGUCAAAUGGACGAUAAUACGAACCAAUCGGCAGGACGCACUUGAUGAACGUAAUAAUCGAUCGGUUGAGACGUUUGACACACUUUUCCAGCCAGAUAACGAUUAAUUUUCGUCGAUGUAAAUCUAUACUAAGUGAUGUGGCGAAGGCGUUUUCGCGGAAAUGGCACAGGUGCACUGAAACUGUGCAUUGUAAUAAAUAAUCGAUACCAUUCAUUGUCUCUGAUGUAGCUGUGGUUUAGAUUAGAGAAGUACCUUUUCAACAUAUUUGGAUCCUAGGGGGAAAUAUCUUCUUCUUUGAUAUUUUCUACGGUACAUUCAAGGCGAAGAGGAGAAUUGAUACGGUGUUGGUAGCUCGUGUGCGUGACGUGGAAAGCACACGCGAGCACACGCUCACGCUGCUCGCGUGUCAACUACCGUAACCCUCGAGUACAUCGGGGGUUUCACGAUGGACGGGGUCGCGGCUGAAAGGAAGGGGCUGAAAAAAGGUGUGAAUGCCGGAUGGCAUUCAUUCAAAUGCCGUCCAAUCACAGCAUCGUACUCCAGGUCGAGCAGCAGGGCCGGCAUGCAUCGGGAAUUAUUAAGUCCUCGCGAUUCCCUGUUGCGUUAACGAGCCAAAUUAACUCAAACCGAGAAGAAAAACCGUCUGCGGGAUAAACUGGAUAAAUAUUGUAUUAAUUAUCGCUGCAUUGCGUAUGCUGUUAGCCACGCCGAAGUGGAUGUUCUAAAAAGGAGCUUCAUGCUUAUAAGAUAGAAAUUGAAGACUAUUUUAAAGAUUGGUUUGGGAAAAGGAUGAGCGAAUGUGGAGUAAGGACUAUUGUAUUUGAGCGAGAUUUCAACAAAUCAAAUAAAACAGAAACUGGAAUGGAAAGUCGUGGCAUUAAAUCAAGUAGAUCUGCUGAUUUCCUGUGGAUCAAUUUUGUAUAGUUAAUUGCAUUGUAAUUUUCGUUGAAUAGUACAAAUUGGUUUAGAAGUGUAAACAAAGCAAUGAACAGUAUGUCGAACGGUAUUUGUUAGAAUAAGGAUAUUUCUGAUAAAAUAUAAACAAAAAGCAGAGCCAGAAAUGUGUGGUUAUAUUUGAAUAGCAAAGUGUGUGUUGCAUUGAAGAAAAUAAAAAUGAAAAUUGAAGAUAAGAAUAAGGUACCAUUUAACUUUCACUGAAUCAAAAUCUCUUUGAACUUUUAUCAGUUUUACUUAAAAUAACUCUUCUAAAUGGAACAAAAGCUUGUAGGAAUAAAUAGAAUAAAGAUAUAAUCUUUCCUAGAUUCUGCAGUUUCACUUAGACACCGCUCUGAAAUUUAUGAAUCAAAUAGAGAGGAUCCGGCUCGACUUGCCGAGGCAACGUCUUUCUGCCGAGUGUUUUUGACACGAGGCGGUCUCUCCAAUCGAUCCAGGCUAGAAUAGCCGAACCGGAAGUGGGACGUUUAGGCUCGAUGGGAAUGACAACGAAGAGAGAGCGACUUAACUUUGGAUCACGACGGGGCCCUCUCGCUGUGAAUCACUCGAACGAAUUUCCUCGAUAAGAUAGCUAGCUCUCCUCCCAGCCGCCUAUUCUUCCAUGCGAGAAUUACUUUCGUUCAACGAAGGAGAGGCGAUUCUUCUACUUAAGAAUUAAUUGAAAGGGAAACGAAUCGUCGACGUUGAUCGAACGGGGAUCUAGAAGACAUCAGCUUCUUCCAUGAACCAUCCUGUUUCAUCUCUUUCAUAAGUUAUUAAAUAGAUAAAAAAGAAGAACGUCAAGAGAAAUUGCUAUUAUAAUUUUGGUAGAUUAAUUUACGGUUAUGUGUAUUUCAUCUGUUAGAAUACUAGUAGGAUUGUUCAUACUUAAGAUGUGGCCAAAAUAUUGGGUUCACACGUACUCGCGUAAUUGUUUUCGUGGUAUAAGUUCGAAAGAAGAAUCUCUUCUUUUGAAGAGAUGUAACGGAUUCUGUGAGAAAAAUUAAACGAUACUUAUACUUUUGUUAAAUUCUGCGAUACUGCAACUGCACAGAUCUUUUUAAACGCUAUCUUAAAGAACUGAAUAUUUAAAUCAUGAAAAUAAGUAAAAAUAUAGAAAUUUAAUGGUCGAGCUAUUUAAUUUUAUUAAUAUGUUCAGAUCUACUGAACGAAGAUCGACUAGCCUUGAUAUUUCCAAAAGAACUGCUAUAAUCUCGUAUAUAAUUAAUUUCUAUAAAGAAAUUCUAAUUUAAUCUAACGAUGAAAAAAUGUUUCGUUUAAUUUUAAUUUAAUAAUUGAAAAUUACUGUGAAUUAAUAUUAAAAGAACAAUAUAAGAGAAGAUAAAUUCUUUCUAGCAAAGAGAAUCUUAUUGAUUCCACUUAAUAUUUCUAAAUAGAUUUCAAGUAUCAAUUUGGACAAUAACUCACUAGGUCACAAUUGGUGUGGUUAGAGGCAUCACUGAAGCAGGAUGAAGGUAGAUCCCGUUUCACGUUCAGGUUUUCUGGUGUCUACGGUUGAAACUGAUAUACUCUGAGCUGAAAGACAAUGACUUCUGUCAGAGAGUAGUAUGACAAUUGGCAGCUGAUUGCGAUCUUGCACCCCUGUUGGGAGGGAGAGGAGAAAAAAUUAGCGACGGAGGAGGCAAUCAACGUGUCUGUGAAGUAGCGUGGCCCUAGGUUUUGCGGCUGUAUCGACCUAAUAGUCCGUAGUUCGCAGCAGCUCGUAAAAUACGGCGAUUACACGACGUGAUUUCGAGGAAAACCAUAAUAGCCGACCCUGACCGUCGAGAAAUCGUCCCAUCGGAACGAACAGUUCAGUAGAUCCACCCUUUGCAAUUUAUCGAUGCUGCAAUUCGGCUCUCCGACCUAUCCAACCUACAGAAACUGACGAAUUUUCUAAAAGAUUUGAAUGACAUUUUUGUAAAGUGCGUAGAUGAAGAAUGGGAAGCUUUUUGCAUUCUACUAAUUUCUAAUUCUAGUAACCUUGACAGACGAAU